rnacentral:rRNA from 1 species
GACGAACGCUGGCGGCGUGCCUAAUACAUGCAAGUCGAACGAACUCUGGUAUUGAUUGGUGCUUGCAUCAUGAUUUACAUUUGAGUGAGUGGCGAACUGGUGAGUAACACGUGGGAAACCUGCCCAGAAGCGGGGGAUAACACCUGGAAACAGAUGCUAAUACCGCAUAACAACUUGGACCGCAUGGUCCGAGUUUGAAAGAUGGCUUCGGCUAUCACUUUUGGAUGGUCCCGCGGCGUAUUAGCUAGAUGGUGGGGUAACGGCUCACCAUGGCAAUGAUACGUAGCCGACCUGAGAGGGUAAUCGGCCACAUUGGGACUGAGACACGGCCCAAACUCCUACGGGAGGCAGCAGUAGGGAAUCUUCCACAAUGGACGAAAGUCUGAUGGAGCAACGCCGCGUGAGUGAAGAAGGGUUUCGGCUCGUAAAACUCUGUUGUUAAAGAAGAACAUAUCUGAGAGUAACUGUUCAGGUAUUGACGGUAUUUAACCAGAAAGCCACGGCUAACUACGCGCCAGCAGCCGCGGUAAUACGUAGGUGGCAAGCGUUGUCCGGAUUUAUUGGGCGUAAAGCGAGCGCAGGCGGUUUUUUAAGUCUGAUGUGAAAGCCUUCGGCUCAACCGAAGAAGUGCAUCGGAAACUGGGAAACUUGAGUGCAGAAGAGGACAGUGGAACUCCAUGUGUAGCGGUGAAAUGCGUAGAUAUAUGGAAGAACACCAGUGGCGAAGGCGGCUGUCUGGUCUGUAACUGACGCUGAGGCUCGAAAGUAUGGGUAGCAAACAGGAUUAGAUACCCUGGUAGUCCAUACCGUAAACGAUGAAUGCUAAGUGUUGGAGGGUUUCCGCCCUUCAGUGCUGCAGCUAACGCAUUAAGCAUUCCGCCUGGGGAGUACGGCCGCAAGGCUGAAACUCAAAGGAAUUGACGGGGGCCCGCACAAGCGGUGGAGCAUGUGGUUUAAUUCGAAGCUACGCGAAGAACCUUACCAGGUCUUGACAUACUAUGCAAAUCUAAGAGAUUAGACGUUCCCUUCGGGGACAUGGAUACAGGUGGUGCAUGGUUGUCGUCAGCUCGUGUCGUGAGAUGUUGGGUUAAGUCCCGCAACGAGCGCAACCCUUAUUAUCAGUUGCCAGCAUUAAGUUGGGCACUCUGGUGAGACUGCCGGUGACAAACCGGAGGAAGGUGGGGAUGACGUCAAAUCAUCAUGCCCCUUAUGACCUGGGCUACACACGUGCUACAAUGGAUGGUACAACGAGUUGCGAACUCGCGAGAGUAAGCUAAUCUCUUAAAGCCAUUCUCAGUUCGGAUUGUAGGCUGCAACUCGCCUACAUGAAGUCGGAAUCGCUAGUAAUCGCGGAUCAGCAUGCCGCGGUGAAUACGUUCCCGGGCCUUGUACACACCGCCCGUCACACCAUGAGAGUUUGUAACACCCAAAGUCGGUGGGGUAACCUUUUAGGAACCAGCCGCCUAAGGUGGGACAGAUGAUUAGGGUGAAG